rnacentral:rRNA from 1 species
AUUGAACGCUGGCGGCAUGCCUUACACAUGCAAGUCGAACGGUAACGGGCCUUCGGGUGCCGACGAGUGGCGCACGGGUGAGUAAUACAUCGGAACGUGCCCGAUCGUGGGGGAUAACGAGGCGAAAGCUUUGCUAAUACCGCAUACGAUCUACGGAUGAAAGCAGGGGACCGCAAGGCCUUGCGCGGACGGAGCGGCCGAUGGCAGAGUAGGUAGUUGGUGGGAUAAAAGCUUACCAAGCCGACGAUCUGUAGCUGGUCUGAGAGGAUGAUCAGCCACACUGGGACUGAGACACGGCCCAGACUCCUACGGGAGGCAGCAGUGGGGAAUUUUGGACAAUGGGCGCAAGCCUGAUCCAGCCAUGCCGCGUGCAGGAUGAAGGCCUUCGGGUUGUAAACUGCUUUUGUACGGAACGAAAAGCCUUCUUUUAAUACAGGAGGGUCAUGACGGUACCGUAAGAAUAAGCACCGGCUAACUACGUG